rnacentral:rRNA from 1 species
UGGGGAAUUUUGGACAAUGGGCGAAAGCCUGAUCCAGCCAUGCCGCGUGAGUGAAGAAGGCCUUCGGGUUGUAAAGCUCCUUCAGGCGGAAAGAAAACGCAUAGGUUAAUACCUUGUGCGGAUGACGGUACCAUCAGAAGAAGCACCGGCUAACUACGUGCCAGCAGCCGCGGUAAUACGUAGGGUGCGAGCGUUCAUCGGAAUUACUGGGCGUAAAGCGUGCGAAGGCGGUUAUGUAAGACAGAUGUGAAAUCCCCGGGCUCAACCUGGGACCUGCAUUUGUGACAGUAUAGCUAGAGUACGGUAGAGGAGGUUGGAAUUCCGCGUGUAUCAGUGAAAUGCGUAGCUAUGCGGAGGAACACCGAUGGCGAAGGCAAUCCCCUGGACCUGUACUGACGCUCGUGCACGAAAGCGUGGGGUGCAAACA